UACAGAGGAUGCAAGCAUUAUCCGGAAUGAUUGGGCGUAAAGCGUCUGUAGGUGGCUUUUUAAGUCCGCCGUCAAAUCCCAGGGCUCAACCCUGGACAGGCGGUGGAAACUACCAAGCUGGAGUACGGUAGAGGCAGAGGGAAUUUUCGGUGGAGCGGUGAAAUGCGUAGAGAUCGGAAAGAAUACCAACGGCGAAAGCACUCUGCUGGGCCAAUACUGACACUGAGAGACGAAAGCUAGGGGAGCGAAUGGG
rnacentral:rRNA from 1 species